rnacentral:rRNA from 1 species
AACGUAGGACACGAGCGUUAUCCGGAGUUACUGGGCGUAAAGGGCGAGUAGGUGGUGCGAUAAGACUGGUGUGAAAGCCUUCGGCUUAACCGAGGGAGGACACUGGUGACUGUCGGACUUGAGGCAGAUAGAGGGGUGUAGAAUUCCGGGUGUAGUGGUGAAAUGCGUAGAUAUCGGGAGGAACACCAGUGGCGAAGGCGGCUACCUGGCCCACUCUUGACGCUGAGGCGCGAAAGCUAGGGGAGCAAACGGG